AAUGAACGCUGGCGGCGUGCCUAACACAUGCAAGUCGAGCGAGAAAGCUCCUUCGGGAGUGAGUACAGCGGCGGACGGGUGAGUAACGCGUGAGAAUUUACCCUUUAGUGAAGAAUACCCCUGAGAAAUCAGGGGUUAAUACUGCAUACGUCCCUACGGGGAGAAAGGUGGCCUCUUUGCUGCCGCUAAAGGAUAAGCUUGCGAGCUAUUAGCUUGUUGGUGAGGUAAAGGCUCACCAAGGCGAUGAUGGCUAGCCGGCCUGAGAGGGUGUACGGCCACACUGGAACUUAGACACGGUCCAGACUCCUACGGGAGGCAGCAGUGAGGAAUAUUGCGCAAUGGGCGAAAGCCUGACGCAGCGACGCCGCGUGGAGGAUGAAGGUCUUCGGAUUGUAAACUUCUGUUAAGUGGGAAGAAAGGUUUAUCCCUAAUACGGAUAAAAGAUGACGGUACCAUUAGAGAAAGCACCGGCUAACUUCGUG
rnacentral:rRNA from 1 species